UACGUAGGAGACGAGCGUUGUCCGGAGUUACUGGGCGUAAAGGGUGCGCAGGUGGCGGCGCGCGUGGGGGGUGAAAUCGCCCGGCUUAACUGGGCGGGGGCCUUCCAGACGGCGUGGCUUGAGCAGCGGAGGGGGACGUGGAAUUCCGGGUGGAGCGGUGAAAUGCGCAGAUAUCAGGAGGAACACCAACGGCGAAGGCAGCACUCUGGGCCGGUACUGACGCUGAGGAGCGAAAGCGUGGGGAGCAAACAGG
rnacentral:rRNA from 1 species